rnacentral:rRNA from 1 species
GAUGAACGCUAGCUACAGGCUUAACACAUGCAAGUCGAGGGGAAACGGCGUUGAGUGCUUGCACUCUUCGGACGUCGACCGGCGCACGGGUGAGUAACGCGUAUCCAACCUUCCCAUAACUAAGGGAUAACCUGCCGAAAGGCAGACUAAUACCUUAUGUAAUCCUUUGACGGCAUCAGAUUAGGAUUAAAGAUUUAUCGGUUAUGGAUGGGGAUGCGUCUGAUUAGCUUGUUGGCGGGGUAACAGCCCACCAAGGCAACGAUCAGUAGGGGUUCUGAGAGGAAGGUCCCCCACAUUGGAACUGAGACACGGUCCAAACUCCUACGGGAGGCAGCAGUGAGGAAUAUUGGUCAAUGGGCGAGAGCCUGAACCAGCCAAGUAGCGUGCAGGACGACGGCCCUAUGGGUUGUAAACUGCUUUUGUAUGGGGAUAAAGUCAAUCACGUGUGAUUGUUUGCAGGUACCAUACGAAUAAGGACCGGCUAAUUCCGUGCCAGCAGCCGCGGUAAUACGGAAGGUUCGGGCGUUAUCCGGAUUUAUUGGGUUUAAAGGGAGCGUAGGCCGGAGAUUAAGUGUGUUGUGAAAUGUAGACGCUCAACGUCUGACUUGCAGCGCAUACUGGUUUCCUUGAGUACGCACAACGUUGGCGGAAUUCGUCGUGUAGCGGUGAAAUGCUUAGAUAUGACGAAGAACUCCGAUUGCGAAGGCAGCUGACGGGAGCGCCACUGACGCUUAAGCUCGAAGGUGCGGGUAUCGAACAGGAUUUAGAUACCCUGGUAGUCCAAGGGCGAAUUCCACAGUGGAUAUCAAGCUAUCGGAUACCGUCGACGUCGGGGGUGUGGUCUCUGGUUUUCAGCUUAUUGUUCCAUUUAGUGAAGGGUUAAUUACGUUCGCAGUUAAACAUAACCUCUUCCGAGGUGGCACGGCGGGAGCGCGG